rnacentral:rRNA from 1 species
AAACUAACUAGGAUUCCCCCAGUAACGGCGAGUGAAGCGGGAUGAGCUCAAGCUUAAAAUCUCUGUGUCAGUUUGGCAUGGCGAAUUGUAGUCUAUAGAGGCGGCGUCAGUGCAGGCAUUCGGGGUAAGUUCCUUGGAAGAGGGCAGCAUCGAGGGUGAUACUCCCGUUUGUACCUGAGUGCUUGUGCGUACGACCCGUUUUCUUUGAGUCGCGUUGUUUGGGACUGCAGCGCAAAGUAGGUGGUAAAUUCCAUCUAAAGCUAAAUAUUGGUGCGAGACCGAUAGCGAACAAGUACCGUGAGGGAAAGAUGAAAAGAACUUUGAAAAGAGAGUUAAAGAGUACCUGAAACUGCUGAAAGGGAAGCGAAUCGUAUCCAGUGUCUAUAAUCUGUGGCAUAUUUCAUUGGCGUAUGUGUGCGUGUCGCGUGUUGGAAGUGUUGAUUCAUCAUCGCUCUUUGCGCGACUGUGCGUGUGUCUGCUGGUGCCCUGUGUCAUGGUGGGACGUCAGAGUCAGUUCGUAUGCUGCGGGAAAUGGCUGUUGAGGAGGUAGGUCAGGAGCUUGCUCUUGGCUGUUAUAUCUUGGUAGCUAGUAAUCGCGGUUGGGACUGAGGUGCCUACAACGUGCUUUGGGGUCAUUCGGCUUCUCCUUUGGUUGUCUGCUAGGAUAGCUUGCUAUGUUGGCGUGGCAGUCGGCGGAUGGAGGCUGAGUGUAACCUGUGCCGUUCGGGACUUUGACGAAAUGGAGCGAUUCGGC